CUGUGUCUUGCAAGCUAAACAGGAAUAAACACGACGUUGUUCUCUUUAAACAUUGGCAGUCUGCUCUGAAGAAAGAUUUCAGAUGGAGAGCAUCAGCUGCAGGAGGUGGCACAAGGAAGGACAUGGUGGUUUUAAAAAGCCAGCUGGCUUACAAGUUUGUCCAUGGAAAACGUGGACAACACAUCGCAAGAGGAUUUGUUUCUGGGAGCAACUGAGAAUGGCCACACAA